UUGACAAAAACUGGAACCAAGAACUGUUUGACGCGACAACCAUUUGAAAACCCUAACAUCAUGACCCUGAGACUGGAACACCACAUGCAACAUUAUUUAUAUAAAGAUUAGGAAGAAUUUAGCAUGAUUGAAUUAUUGCUUCCAAAGAUUCCAAGUGCUGAGAGUUCCAACAGUUUCGGCUUCCAUAGAUACAUUACUCAUGGUCGAGGACAAAGCCUACAAGCAAAAGUUAGCCAACUUCCAAUAUAAGCAGGCAGGACAAGCUACUAAGCUAGAGACAUAAAGACAACAAGAACACAGCGACAUAUCAUAUACUCAGCUUUGAUCAAGUUCACACUUCCAUCACUUCUUUCAAGUACAGUGACAAUUGACUCAGACAAGUUUACUUCUCAAGUCUAGGAGAAGGGCUGGAAACUGGAUCAAACUAACUGGCAUAUGACAACCAAUGCUCUCCUAGAAUCUGAAUUCCAGGUCAAUGGCCAUUGCCUGUUCAUAUUUCACAGUUAAGUUGACCUGUAGGUACAAGUACAUGUAACAUUUAUAAACACUAAAAUACCAGAAGAAAACAGUACAUUUACAUGAAUAGCUUUAAGCAUCCAUGCAAACCUACUUUGAAAGAAUGGCCAACUGAAACCUAGCAGGACAAGAUUCUUUUUCAGCUUACAAUUCUGUCCAAUAACAAGAUUUACAUGGUGUGAGAUUUCAAACCUUGGCUAAUAUUUGAUACGAAGCUUGUCUAAUAUUUUGAUUCUCAAAUGCCAAAUAUUUGCAAACCAAAGGGAGUAUGAAGAACACUUAUUAUGGCAGAAAAAAUGGAUGGCCAGAUUUAAACUCUAGCCCAUCUGCCCAUGUAUAGCCACUAACGAAAAGCUGCUUCAAUUCUGCUUUGGAUGAGAUACAAUUGGAACCUUUGUAUAAAGUGAGUCAGGUUGCAGCCAACCUAAAAAGAAAUUAAGUACCUCUCUCGAGCUACAAUAUUAUCAAGGUUCCAGUUGUUCAACUAAAAAGAAAUACACUGUCAAACGUCUGUUGUUUUUGUGAUUUCUUCAUAGAUAGAACAUGGAUAAUAGGAAUAUGCAAUGUCCAUAAAGCAGAAGCAACAAAAGAUAGAUUAAUUACCUACAUAAUCUGGAAUAGUUGAGUGCCCGUGCUUUGCAACGGGAGCCUAAAAAAGUCCAAUGUUACAACUUAAAC
rnacentral:lncRNA from 1 species